GAUGAACGCUGGCGGCGUGCCUAAUACAUGCAAGUCGAGCGAACGGACGAGAAGCUUGCUUUUCUGAUGUUAGCGGCGGACGGGUGAGUAACACGUGGAUAACCUACCUAUAAGACUGGGAUAACUUCGGGAAACCGGAGCUAUACCGGAUAAUAUUUUGAACCGCAUGGUUCAAAAGUGAAAGACGGUCCUGCUGUCACUUAUAGAUGGAUCCGCGCUGCAUUAGCUAGUUGGUAAGGUAACGGCUUACCAAGGCAACGAUGCAUAGCCGACCUGAGAGGGUGAUCGGCCACACUGGAACUGAGACACGGUCCAGACUCCUACGGGAGGCAGCAGUAGGGAAUCUUCCGCAAUGGGCGAAAGCCUGACGGAGCAACGCCGCGUGAGUGAUGAAGGUCUUCGGAUCGUAAAACUCUGUUAUUAGGGAAGAGCAUAUGUGUAAGUAACUGUGCACAUCUUGACGGUACCUAAUCAGAAAGCCACGGCUAACUACGUG
rnacentral:rRNA from 1 species